rnacentral:rRNA from 1 species
UACGUAGGGUGCGAGCGUUUGUCCGGAAUUAUUGGGCGUAAAGAGCUCGUAGGCGGUUUUGUUGCGUCUAUCGUGAAAACCUGCAGCUUAACUGUGGGCUUGCGGUGGAUACGGGCAGACUUGAGUUCGGUAGGGGAGACUGGAAUUCCUGGUGUAGCGGUGAAAUGCGCAGAUAUCUGGAGGAACACCUGCGGCGAAGGCGGGUUGCUGGGCCGACACUGACGCUGAGGCGCGAAAGCUAGGGGAGCGAACGGG